GAUGAAGAACGUAGCGAAAUGCGAUAAGUAAUGUGAAUUGCAGAAUUCAGUGAAUCAUCGAAUCUUUGAACGCACAUUGCGCCCGCCAGUAUUCUGGCGGGCAUGCCUGUUCGAGCGUCAUUUCAACCAUCAAGCCCCCGGCUUGUGUUGGGGACCUGCGGCUGCCGCAGGCCCUGAAAACCAGUGGCGGGCUCGCUAGUCACUCCGAGCGUAGUAAUACAUCUCGCUCAGGGCGUGCUGCGGGUUCCGGCCGUUAAACACCCCCCUUUCCAAAGGUUGACCUCGGAUCAGGUAGGAAUACCCGCUGAACUUAAGCAUAUCAAUAAGCGGAGGA
rnacentral:misc_RNA from 1 species